ensembl:lncRNA
UUUUUUUUUUUUUUUUGAGAUGGAGUCUCGCACUAUUGCCUGGGCUGGAGUGCAAUGGCAUGAUCUCAGCUCACUGCAACCUCUACCUCCUGGGUUCAAGCGAUUCUCCUGCCUCAGCCUCCAGAGUUGCUGGGAUUACAGGUGCCUGCCACCAUGCCUGGCUACUUUUUUGUAUUUUUAGUAGAGAUGGGGUUUCACUAUGUUGGACAGGCUGGUCUCGAACUCCUGACUUUGUGAUCCACCCACCUCAGCAUCCCAAAGUGCUGUGCCUGGCAGUUCUAUAAAUUUUAACGAAGUUUUUAUAACUACCACUACAAUCAAAAUACAGAACAGUUCCAUCACCCUCCCCCAACUCCAAACCCUUGGCAGUCAUUUAUCUGUGUGCUGUUGCAAUAUUUGUACCUUUUGGAGAAUGUCAUAUAAAUGGAAUCAUAUAUAUGUAAUCUUUGGAUAUUGGCUUCUUUUACUCAGAAUAAUGCCUUUGAGAUUCACCCAAUUUCUUGUGUGUUUCUUACCUCUUUUUUUUUUUUAUUGCUCAGUGGUAUUCCAUUGCAUAAAUGUACCACAGUUUGCUUGUUUACCCACUGAAAGACAUCUGGUUAUUUCUAGUUUUUGGUGAACAUGAACAGAGCUGUUCUAAACACUCAUGUAUGUUUUUAUGUGAACUUUUUCAUUUCUCUAGGCAAAAUGUGUAUGAAUAUUAUUGCUGAGUCAUAUGGUAACUGUUUGAAAGUUUAUAAGAAAAUGCCAAACUACUUUCUAGAGUGGCCAUACUAUUUUGCAUUCCUAUCAGUCAUGUAUGAGAGUUCCAGUUGCUCUGCAUCCUCACCAGGAGUUGGUGUUGUCAGUGUAUUUUAUUUCAGCCAUUCUGUUAGGUGGGUAGUGGUAUUGUAUUAUGAUUUUAUUCAAUUUAAGAGGCGGGGUCUCACCAUAUUGCCCAGGGUGGAGUGCAGUGGCUAUUCAUAGGCACAAGCAUGGCACACUACAGCCUUGAAAUCCUUGGCUUAAGUGAUUCUCCUGUCUCAGCACCUGGAGACAGCCUCUGCACCCAGCUCUGACAUUGUGAUUUUACUUUGCAUUUCUCUAAUGGCUAAUCAUGUUCAGCAUGUUUUCUUGUGCUUAUUUGCCAUCUAUAUAUUCUCUUCGGUGAAGUGUCUUUUGCCUAUUUUUAAAUGGGGUUGUUUUCUUACUUAGAUACAAGUCUUAUGUUUGAUAAGCGUUCUGCAAGUAUUUUUCUCCCAGUCUGUUGCCCACUGUUGCAUUCUUUUAAUGGUGGCUUUCACAGAGCAUUGCCCUGGCAGCUUUGUAACAAAUCAAUUGACCUCAGACCACCACUUACAGAAAGAUAGAGUAUAUUUACUUUUCCCUAUUCCUUCAUUUAGGUACAGCUAAAAACCCUGGACACUAUAUGUAAAACAUUAUACAUAAAACAAACAUAAGAAGAAUCUGAAAGGUGACUAGAAGGCAGACCACCUAAGGACCUGGGACCCAAGGAAUACUCAGUAGUGAGUUCCCUGGGUUUUCUCUUACAUAUCCCAGAUUGGGUACUGGAAAAGCUGGCAACCCAGAAAUGCUGAUGGGCAGAGCAUUUUUUCGUUUUUUUUUAAAGCCCUUGGAAAAGCCUGCUCUGUCUAGUCAAAGGACUGGGAAAGGAGCAGCUUUGCAAGACAGAACAUUUUUAGAUGAUAACAUCUCUACUCCAGAUAAGUACCACCG